UACGUAGGGGGCUAGCGUUGUCCGGAAUCAUUGGGCGUAAAGCGCGCGUAGGCGGCCAGAUAAGUCCGGUGUGAAAGCCACAGGCUCAACCUGUGAAUGCCGCUGGAAACUGUCUGGCUAGAGUCCGGGAGGGGCGAGUGGAAUUCUUGGUGUAGCAGUGAAAUGCGUAGAUAUCAAGAGGAACACCAGUGGCGAAAGGCGAGUCCCUGGACAAUACCUGACAUGAGGCACGAA
rnacentral:rRNA from 1 species